AUCCCCUUCCUCUCUGCGCACGGCACGCAACUCCGCCCACAGCGUCAUAUCCCUCCGCCUAGCGUCGAGAUAGGGAACAAAAUCCCUCCGCCGGAUGGGGGGGAGAUAGUUCUCUUAGCCUUCAUGUUUUCCUCAAACUCAAGAGACUAAUUUGGGGGGUAGGGGGGUAGUGGGUGGGCCUUCUCAAUUCUUCAGCCACCUUAGGGUCACUUCUCCAUCUCCCUCCAACUUCCAUGACGUGGUGGAAGCUGGCAUCUUCUCCAUCCAACCGUGAUGCAGUGAUGUCAUAUCUUCCUUAGCAGUCUCACGCGAUGAUGUCAUAACAGCAACGUCUGAUGCCAUACUAUAGCGCGGCCUUCCUACUCGUCAUGGCUAUGAUGCGCCCAUCACUCACUGUUAAAAAAGACCGCGUGAUGAUAUCACAUCACAAACUAGUAACAGUUUGAGGCCUGGGUACCUGAAGGACCUUCUGCUCUUGAAUAUGGUUCUUCCCACCCAUCAAGGAAAUCAGUGUGGGCUCUGCUAUGUCGACAUUGAAAGAGGCUCAAUUGUUGUGCAGGUGGGGCAGGGUCUUCUCGGGGCUGUCCCUAUUGCCCCCAGACUUUGGAAUGUUCUCCCAGGGGACAUCCAUCCCUGGCUUCCCUUACUGCCUUGAAGAAGCAAGUAAAGACCUUGCCAUUUAUUCAGAUCUUUGCCCCUUAAAGGGUGCUAGUUUCUCUGCUCUACAGCUCUGUAUUUUAUGGCUUGUAUUGUGUUUUAUGGAUUUUACUAUGCAUUUUAAUAUUGUAAACCGCCUUGGGAUAAAUUUAUGAAAUGGUAUAGAAAUCUAACUAUAAAUAAAAAUAAAUUACAAGGCAGAA